rnacentral:rRNA from 1 species
UACGUAGGGGGCAAGCGUUGUCCGGAUUUAUUGGGCGUAAAGAGCGUGUAGGCGGCUAGGUAGGUCCGUUGUGAAAACUCGAGGCUCAACCUCGAGACGUCGAUGGAAACCAUCUAGCUAGAGUCCGGAAGAGGAGAGUGGAAUUCCUGGUGUAGCGGUGAAAUGCGCAGAUAUCAGGAGGAACACCAAUAGCGAAGGCAGCUCGCUGGGACGGUACUGACGCUAAGGCGCGAAAGCGCGGGGAGCGAACAGG